CUGCUAUAUUUCAUUGUUGUGCAAGUUAUGGAAGCUACAGGAUUGCUAUUUCUUGAUCUUUGCUCUCUGAUACUUCUCUUGCUUACCUCCAAAUGUGACGAUUUUGUGCUUAAAAUAUUCAAAGGGAAAGAACAGGGGCGAAGCUAGAUCUGGGAUGACCCUGGCCCUCCAUACCUCCACAGUGUACAAGUGAUGCCUGAAAAUUAGAUGGGCCCCGCGGCAGGAAACAGGAAUUGACGGGAUCAAUUGCAGCGUGAGAAAAACUGGGCACUGCCUAUUUGGUUAGCGCGCUAAUGGUUAGUGCUAACAGUUAGUGCGAAGGAAUUUUACUAGUAAAUAAAAUUUAUUUAAAAACCUAUUUUAAAGAUGGGUGUAAUUUCGCCAUACGAAUCCAAUGAACACAAUGAUGCUACAGUAACUGGGGCGGCGCGAGGAAAGGGCGGGAUCGGAGGUUGGAGCGAGCACGCGAGAGUAGCUAUUGUGCCGGAGAAGAAGCACAGUACCAAAGCUGGGAGGAAGAAGAAAUGCUCAAGAUUGUCCCAUGAAGAUCCUAUGAUAUAUGCUUAUUAGGGAGUUAAAAUUAGGCGCUAGCGCAAUAACAUGUCCCUGAAUAUGUAUAUGUGUUAAUAUGGGAAUUUAAAAUAGAAAGAUUCUAAAUGGCCAGAAGAUGAGGGAAAUCUAUAACUUUCGAUGCUA